GAUUAAGAACGCAGCGAAAUGCGAUAAGUAAUGUGAAUUGCAGAAUUCAGUGAAUCAUCGAAUCUUUGAACGCACCUUGCACCCUUUGGCAUUCCGAAGGGUAUGCUCGUUUGAGUGUCAUUGUACUCUCACACUCUCCGAUCCUAUGGAUUCGGGGAGCGGUGGACUUGGGUGUUGCUGCCUUUCCCUGUGGCUCACCUCAAAUGCGUCAGUGCACCUCUUGGUUGGACAUAGUACGGCGUGAUAAGUGUCUUCGCCGGCACCUCGCAAGAGGGUGGCCGAUCGGGAGCUCUGCGCUUUCAAACCGUCUUCGGACAAUUUCUGACAUCUUGACCUCAAAUCGAGUAGGACUACCCGCUGAACUUAAGCAUAUCAAUAAGCGGAGGA
rnacentral:misc_RNA from 1 species